CAGGCCAAGAGGUGAAGUUCUUGUUUAUUGUUGCAGCAACUCUUAUACAGACAUUAGCGUUCAGUUAAAUAAAGGAAGAUAGAUAGCACAGUAAAUACAUCACAACCCCAAACUGGAUGACUGUGGCCACGGGACGGAGGAGGGAGGGAGGGAGGGACCAGUGACCAGACUGUCAAGGAAGUACAUUCAGUGGGUGUGCGGUGUCCACAUUCCAGGCUCACGUGUAGAUAUAUUUUAUUUAUAUAUUUAUUUAUAUUUAUAUAUAGAUCAUUGAGUUUUGUGUAUACAAAGAACGAUAUUGUUACAAAUACAAUACUAUACUUCUCCCGACACUUUACAAUAAGCUCUAUUUCACCCUCUUUACAGAACAAUAGUACAAGUUCAUACUCUAGGUGCUGUGCUAAGUAUGUACAAGAAAUGUCAUUCCCACACAGUCCUCACACACUGCCUUGAUGGAGGGGAAGAAAGAUCGAGUUGUGUGCUCAAGUCAACCUAGGCCAGGGAAGGAGACACAUGAAACUCAAACCAACAGGUGGCCUGUGAAUGCGAGUAAACACAUCUAAGGAGGGGCGGCCCCUGGUUGUAAACAUUGGUAACGGCUACACCACUGGGUCGAGGGACCCGGGAAGGGCUCUGUAGAUGGUUUUCAUCUGUGUGCGGGAGGUGUUGGUGCCCACAGGGUGAGGGGGGCAGAGGAGCGAUGGGGGAGGUAGUAGGUUACUCUGGGACUCCCUGAAGGCGGUGUUGAUGGGCAAUGUUCAGAAAGCAAACCCGUGCACAGGGACCCGGAGGGGGAGGUGAACGUGGGAGUCCAACCCCAAAGCUGAGCCACCAGCACACCCUGGUGGAGCAGCCACAGCAGCUCUGUGCCCUCACAGCGUUUGGGAAGGCUGCCCUGUACAUAGCCUUCCCAUUACAUGGGGUAUUUAGAUAUUUACAUGUAUAACUAUAUAUACUGGGAUGACAGAAGGGAAGACCACCACUUCUCUUGGGACUUUCAAAAAAUCUAGCGACUUGCUUUUAAGACUGUGGCUGCUGAGGUGACCAUACCUAGGCUCACUCCCUUGCCCCAGUGGUAGUGGGAAAAAGAACCCACUUCAGCUGGGUGGACCUGUACCGAGCUCCAGCAACUUCCACUCACUGGGUGUGAAGACACACCUGGAUUAACACAAAAGAAUGUGGCAGAGAAAUCUUCUCACUCUAAUGUUACAAUGUCAGUCCUCUAGGAGAGCUUGCAGAAUUGGCUUUUUCAGCACCUCUCAAAGUUUACAAGGUUUUUGUGCAAUAGGAAUAGAAAGUAUAUUCUCUCCUUUAGGUGAACAUACAUAACCGUUAUGUGCAGGUUGUACAGGGAUGCACUACUGGAGUUCUGUCCCCUGGCCAGUCGUGGGCGGGCCUCUGUGGCACUGCCCAGGUGCCUAGGGACAGACAGGCAUGGGCCCCUACGAUGAUUUUCCAAGGCUCCUGAUGCCUGAAAUACCACCAGUAACACUUCAUUCCUGUUCUAUCCACUCUUAUUGGCAGAGGAAAGAUGAACUGGCUGAUGACUCUUUAGUGUCUCACUGUAUCACCAGAUACUCUACAGCAAAUGGAGAACCCUGGCCAUGGUUCCUUCCUGGUCCUCACGUUUGUGAUGGGUUGACCUUGAGGCUGGUCUCCCAGAAACAUUCUGUAAAGCAUCCUUCAAAGAAGUCCUGGGGAGCUUUACGGACCAUCCCAGAGCCCCUGGCCCCACCGGGUGCCACUCUCUGCAGCAGCAGAAGUCCCUUUCCCCCCAGGGCACCUGGGCAGCCAGCGGCCUCCCUUCCUCAGGGCUCCUUUGUAACACAGUGAAACUGAGAGUGCCACUGCUCGUUCCUGUCAAGCACUGAGCUUCCCUGAUUCUAAGCAGAAAACUCAGAAGAUGCAGAGAUCUCGGGGAAUUGAUCACAGAACUCUCUGGUUGAAGUCUCUUGUCCCUAAUCUUGUUAUAGUCACUUUGCUCCCUCCUUAGAAUCCCUCCAUUCUCUCUAUAAAUACAUGCUACCCACCAUUUGCUCACUGAGUUCCUAUUUCCAUAGACACAACAUAAAUAUCUCGGAUGCAGAGAACAGGGACUAUAUUAAUUACAAAAUAUAAUAGUUUCUCUUCCCCUGUCUCUACUGAGGUCAUGAAUGAAACAAAACAAAAGCAAAGCCAAAUCACACCUCACAUGAACACAAAAUGCUCUUUGGACCAAGUGAAAACUGGCUCAGAAUUAUAAUAUUACUAAAACAUCUACACUGAACUGAGACGGAAGCAUAAAUAUGAGGCACCUGAUGAAAACACGGAACAAUUCCACACCAGCCAAAAAUGCUCUCAGGCCCACAAGGCAGCAAGAGGGUGUUUAUGGACCACAUCUGGGGAUUCUGAGGCAUAACUUGAGGUUGCUAUUGUCUCCUUAAUUUUGUGGUUUAUGUACUAUUCUGGCCUUUCCAAUAUCACAUCCGCCUAGUGGCCCUGAGCAGAGAAGAAAGUUGGUCUUGCCUUGGGCCAGAAAACAAGACGCAAUUGCACCUGCAGCUUGCCUUCUUGGGAACAGUCCCUCCUUCCCAGACUCCUGGGAUGUGUGUUCGGCAGGGAGGGGAGUCCAGGAGGAGGAUGCUUUAAGCCAAAGUGGUGCUGGAGGGGCUGGGCCUCAGCGCAGAGAGGGCAGG
rnacentral:lncRNA from 10 species